CGUAAUAAUAGAAACUAACCAGGAUUCCCUUAGUAACGGCGAGUGAACUGGGAUAUUUAAUACACCAUCUGUGCGUACCUCGGUGCGUACAAAUUUUAGCCCGUCGAUACUAUCCUAGCAUAGUACUGGCUUCGGCCGGUAACCUAUCUAUGCGGGAAUUGUAGCAUCGUACAAAAAUAUAUUAUACAACGUAUAUAUACGCAACCCACACUUAUAUAUAUAUAUAUAUAUUUUUAUGCGUACACUUACUUUCAUAAACACACAGCGCUCCCGCGUUGGAAAGCAAGUUUAUAUCCUUUUUGGAUAUGCCAUAGAGUGUGACGGCCACGUUUCAACUCUCUACGUAUACGCAUGCGUUAUAUACAUACACUGUAUUUUAUAUAUAACCUGAGUCGAGUUAUUU
rnacentral:rRNA from 1 species